GUCCAGACUCCUACGGGAGGCAGCAGUGGGGAAUAUUGCACAAUGGGCGAAAGCCUGAUGCAGCAACGCCGCGUGAAGGAAGACGGUUUUCGGAUUGUAAACUUCUGUUCUUAGUGAAGAAUAAUGACGGUAACUAAGGAGCAAGCCACGGCUAACUACGUGCCAGCAGCCGCGGUAAUACGUAGGUGGCAAGCGUUGUCCGGAAUUACUGGGUGUAAAGGGAGCGUAGGCGGGAAUGCAAGUUGAAUGUUUAAACUAUGGGCUCAACCCAUAGUCGCGUUCAAAACUGCAUUUCUUGAGUGGAGUAGAGGCAGGCGGAAUUCCUAGUGUAGCGGUGAAAUGCGUAGAUAUUAGGAGGAACACCAGUGGCGAAGGCGGCCUGCUGGGCUCUAACUGACGCUGAGGCUCGAAAGCGUGGGUAGCAAACAGGAUUAGAUACCCCCGUAAA
rnacentral:rRNA from 1 species